UAUAUUGUCUCCACCCCCUUCCUCUUGCCACCUAUACCCGCUCGACUACAUCAGUUCUCUUUAAUUUAUGCUCCAGCGGCCUAGACAAUUCACACCGUGUUGUGGUGGUGAGCUGCGGGUUUUCCCUGCUGUCUGAAAUGUGCUUUCUCACAACCGUAGGUGUAGCAUGAAGCGACAAGCGGGAUUUUUCCAGCGUCUGAGACAUCCAUCUUUAAGUUUGUAAAAAACACAGAUAGUUUAGGAGACGGUGUAUUUAAGUAAGGAGCGAACGGUUAAGGCCUCUUAUCUUUGAGGUGGAAAUAAUUUGGAGAGUAAUAUUUCCCCUAGAUUCUGAUUCAUUUAGUUAAUGAACAACUAAUAUUUAUUGAGCAUGCACUCUGACCCUGACACUGUUUGGGGCUAGAGGAGUCAUUGUUAAGUAAGAAUUUUAAGAUCUCUGUCCUCAUGAAUCUCUCUCCACUCUGGAAGAAUUUUACUUAGGAAGCUAUAAAUCGGCUGUCAGAAGGGUAUCAUUGACGUCUUCCCCAGGGACUAGUUCUUCUACGUUACCAUUUAGUACACGCUUGCUUUUAAUUCAAGAAAUAGAAACCUUGUGGUCUGGAACUUCCGAUAGUCUAAAAUUGUUUGUCUUAAAUUACCUGUUUCAUUUACCUCCUGUUAAUUUUUUGCCACAUUUUACUGUCAUCUAGAUUGCCCUUAUUCCUCCUAGUAUCUUAUUCUUCUCUAAUUUUCUCCUCUUUUACAUGAUUAUUUUUCAUGUAUUUCUGAGGUGUCAGACAUCUGGAGUAUGGUUGUCAUAAAUUUUAUGUAUUUUAUUUUUGAGAAGGAGAGAGAAAGCACGAGUGAGGGAGGGGCAGAGAGAGAGAGGGGGAAAGAGAGAGAAUCUCAAGCAGGCUCUGUGCUGUCAUCAUGGACCCCCGUGGUCCCCGAGAUUAUGACCUGAGCUGAAAUCAAGAGUCAGAGGCUUAACCGAUUGAGCCGCCCAGGCUCCCCGAGGAGUAUGAUUAUUAUAAAAAAUAUAUUGCCAUGGCAUCUAAUACCAUCUAAGCUAUUAAGAUCGACACAAAAUGAAGCCAGAAUGUCUGUGCGUGGUGCGUGGUGACUUAAAGAGGGGAUCAAAAUAUCAGUCUUGUUACCAAUCUUGCUGCCACAAUUUUUGUCAUUAGUACCUCUUCUUUAAGGACAAUCUGUUUUCAAAAGAAAGGCUUUGUGAAAGUAUUAUGCUUAGAUGGGUUGGCAAUUCUCAUCGACUGUGGCUAAGUUAGGUUAACUCUUAACCUAAGACGUUAAGAGUUACACGUUGGUCUUAAGGGUUCUCUUUGCUUCCACUCUCAGUCCAUUUCCUGGUAUGUUUUCCACACAACAGCAAGAAGCGUUGUUUAAAGUUAAGUCCUAUCACUUUGUUGAGAUGUUCAUCUCCUCCCCACUCCUACCCGCAAAGCCUUCUUAUCAAAAUCACCAUAAAAAUCCAAAGACCUUCUUAUAGUUGAGAAGGUCUCUGAUCUAGCCCUUGGCUACGUCUCCUGCCAUUUUCCCUAUUAGUCACUGCCCUCUCCAACUGUAACCUCUGCUAUACCACAAAAAUGUCAAGCAUACUCCCACUUCAGAAUUUGUGCAUUUUCUCUGAAAGCUUCUUCUUUCAUCUGCUUGCAUGUCUCUCUCUUCCUUUAACUCAUUUCAUUUAUUAUUCAACUAUGAUUUGCCCAGAAAGGUCUUCAAUGUGCUUUCUAUAUGUAAAAUAGAACCUCACGCUCUAUGCCACCAUAUACCUUUAUCUUUCUUUAUAUCACAUGGUGACAGCUGACAUUAUAUCAUUGUUUAUCAUCUACUUUCCUUUCUAGACUAAGUAAGCUGCUUGGGGGCAAUAACUUUUUCUCGCUUACCCCCUCUGUGGCUCUAACACCUGACAUAACAACUGGAACCUAGUAUGUGCUUACUACACAGAGUUGUUGAGUGCAUGAAUAAAUAAAUAUGAACUAAUGAAAGAAUAUGUAUAAAAGCCAUAAAAGUUCCACGGGCGCCUGAGUGGCUCAGUCGAUUGAGCGUCCGACACCAGCUCAGGUCACGAUCCCACGGUUUGUGAGUUCCAGCCCCAUAUCGGGCUCGCUUGAGCUCUCUUUCUCUCAAAAGUAGAAUAAACAUUAAAGAACUGUAAAAGUUCCAGAAUACAGAGUGCCACUCAGGGAGGUGUGGAGGAUUGUAGACCACCACUGGGUAGCAAGGACACCCUUGAAUAUUACAGAUGAGGGAUGGAGGAGGCAAGUUGGGUAUUUAAGGGAAACAUCAGCUGCCUUCACUAAUUUCUUUGUGUUAAAACAACUUAGGUCCUCUAUUUAUUCUCCUAAAGUUGGGAGACCUGGGUUAAUGUCCACACCUUGGCACUGACUAUACACACUGUAUCAUGAAGAAUGUAUGGGGUCGAGACAGUGUAGGGAAAGCAAGAGGGACUUAAUUCCUGUGAAACUCCUGGUCUGGGCAAACGGUUGAAAGUUUCCAUACUCUUAGAGACAAAUACCUACUUCUGGGAAAGCAAACAAAUGAGAGAUAACAGCUGUUAGGGAGUAAUGGUAGUCUGGGCAAAAUUAGAAAUAACAACUUAAAACCUGCUUGCACAAGGAUUUCUGUUUUUCAGGAGCCCUGAAAGGAGGUGGACCAUGGAGAAAGUCAGCCUGUGAUUGUCUCAUGUCCGUUGAAAAGUAAAGACCACAAGAUAAUGACGGACAGUGGGUGAUCCUCUCCCAGGCUUGGAUGCUCAGUCAGGCUAUGGUGUUUGCCAGAAAUCAGUGAUAUUUCAGAACGUUGGAAGGUGACCCCAACCGGAACUCGUGUAUUUUUUGUCACUUCAAAGCACCUAUGGACAGUCCUUUGCUUUUCCAUACAAGAAUAAGCUUAGGAAUGUUUUGUUUCAUUCGAGGUCAGGCUGCCUACAGAUAUAGACCCUUUCCUCUGCUGCCUUAUUGCCAGGUACAUUAAAUACAGUAUAUGACAAGAGUUUAUUAAUACCGUACUGGGGUCAACAUCCGUACAAGUUCAUACAAUGGCCCCCAUGCAGAAAAAGGUUGAAAAGAAAGGCAGUAAGAAAAAGGAUAUGAUUACGGUGGAGGUUAAAAAGGAUAUCAGCAAGAAGUAUGAAUGAGGUAAGCAAGUGGCCGAAAUUGCAAGAUUUCAUAAGGAGUCUACGUCUGCAUCUCGUCUGCACAUGAGGAGGAGAAAAAGGCAGAAGACACCUUCACUUCAACUGACAUUAGGGAGAUGUGUCAAAUGUGGGAAACAGUACAAAAUUUUGUAGACAAGCACCACCUGAAUAAAGAGUAGCAGUGCAAGUGAUGAAUCGGUUUAAUGAUAAUGCAACGUCACAGUUCCGCGAAAUCCUCAAAAGGAGGCAAAAGCAAGUGUCGUUGAAUAGGUUCUUGUUAAAGUUGCAUGACAGGAAAAAAAUUCCCUUGAGCCAAUAGAUAGCAGUGAUUCUACGAGUGAUAAUGAAAAUUGUCCCACACGAUAACCCUCCUCCCUUGUCACGAAGGCUCACACCAGCCACAAAGGUUUUCAAAGAGAGACAAAGAGAGAGCAUGAAGGAGAGGGAAAGAGAGAGAGGGAAAGAGAGAAUCCCAGAGCCCGUGGGGGGCUCAAACCCACAAACCAUGAUAUCACGAUCUGAGCCAAAAUUAGGAGUUGGAGGCUGGACCCCCCGAGCUACCCAGGUGCCUCCUAAAAACUACAUUUUAGAAGAAUGAUUGAUGAUCCAGCAGUGCCGACUUGGUGGACCAUGUGGCGGUCCUGAGAGCAAAGACCAACAGAUCAGUAGAGGGAUUCUCACUGGCCGCCUCCGUUCUGCUUGCCAACUGGUGCCCCCUAGUGGUUGUGUGAGGUCUUAAACAAGAUCGGCUACUCUGGGUGCAUGAGAUCUGUGUGGAGAGCAGGUGCAGGCCUCUGGCUCUGGUCUUCUUGCAAAAAGCCUCCUUCCCUCACCACCGCCCCCCCCCCUCCCCGAACACCAUCACCAAAUCCCACUUUCCCAUCCAGUCAUUCGCCAAAGAGUUAUUAGGCACAAGGGAGUAGGCCCGUGAGUGAUGGCUGCUGGAAAUACAAACAUAAAAAUUACGGACUUUUUCCUGCUUCACGUGUUUUAUAAAUUAUUAUGUCUGAAAAAAAAAGGAGAGAUUAGCUCAGCAUAAAUUCUGUUACUGACCUUUGGUAUUUACUUUCUCAAUUAUUGGUUAUUACUCUUAAUUAUUUUACCUUUGAGACCUGGAACAUUAGAUAUUAAAUUGACGCCGAGCAAAUGAAUGAAUGCAUGUGUGGUAGAAACUGUUUUAGAGAAAACAGCUUUUAAUAUUCAGAAUACAGCUACCUGCUCCGUCUAUUCAGAGUUUAUUGACCAAGAGGAAAGACUUGGAUAUGCAAGCAAAAACAAGGAAAAGAGAACUUCACAAUUUCUUUUCUUUUCUUUAAAAUUUUUAAUGUUUAUUUUUUAAAGAGAGAGGGACAGACAGUGAGGGUGUAGGGGCAGAGAGAGAAGGGGACACAGAAUCUGAAAGAGGCUCCAGGCUCUGAGCCAUCAGCACAGAGCCCGACGCGGAGCUGGAACUCACAGACAGCGAGAUCGUGACCCCAACUGAAGCCGGGCGCUCAACCGACUGAGCCACCCAGGCGCAUCUCAUUUUCUAAAAUAUGUCUUCUUUUGACUUUAUG